AUCCAUCUGACGUGUCCCAAAUAGGACGAAACGUGUGUAAAACUGUAU
rnacentral:hammerhead_ribozyme from 1 species